AAACCAACAGGGAUUGCCUUAGUAACGGCGAGUGAAGCGGCAACAGCUCAAAUUUGAAAGCUGGCUCCUUUGGAGUCCGCGUUGUAAUUUGUAGAGGAUGAUUCGGCAAGGGCUCCCGCCUAAGUCUCCUGGAACGGAGCGUCAUAGAGGGUGAGAAUCCCGUAUGCGGUGGGCUGCCUAAGCCAUGUGAAUCUCCUUCGACGAGUCGAGUUGUUUGGGAAUGCAGCUCUAAAUGGGAGGUAAAUUUCUUCUAAAGCUAAAUACCGGCCAGAGACCGAUAGCGCACAAGUAGAGUGAUCGAAAGAUGAAAAGCACUUUGGAAAGAGAGUUAAAAAGUACGUGAAAUUGUUGAAAGGGAAGCGCUUGCAGCCAGACUUGUCCGCAGUUGCUCAGCCGGUCUCCUGACCGGUGUACUCUUCUGCGGCCAGGCCAGCAUCAGUUCGGGCGGUCGGAUAAAGACCUCGGGAAUGUAGCUCCUCUCGGGGAGUGU
rnacentral:rRNA from 1 species